AACGCACCUUGCGCUCCUUGGUAUUCCGAGGAGCAUGCCUGUUUGAGUGUCAUUAAUAUAUCAACCUCUCUAGCUUAUGCUUGUUGAGUGUUGGAUGUGGGGGGUAUUUUUGCUGGCGUCUUUAUGAAGUCAGCUCCCCUGAAAUGCAUUAGCGGGACAAUUUGUUGACCGUUCAUUGGCGUGAUAAAUAUCUACGCUAUUGACCGUCAGUCAGUUCAGCUUCUAACAGUCCAUUGACUUGGACAAAUGUUUCAUUAAUGUGACCUCAAAUCAGGUAGGACUACCCGCUGAACUUAA
rnacentral:misc_RNA from 1 species